CCUACGGGAGGCAGCAGUGAGGAAUAUUGGUCAAUGGACGAGAGUCUGAACCAGCCAAGUAGCGUGAAGGAUGACUGCCCUAUGGGUUGUAAACUUCUUUUAUAUGGGAAUAAAAUGUUCCACGUGUGGGAUUUUGUAUGUACCAUAUGAAUAAGGAUCGGCUAACUCCGUGCCAGCAGCCGCGGUAAUACGGAGGAUCCGAGCGUUAUCCGGAUUUAUUGGGUUUAAAGGGAGCGUAGGUGGAUUGUUAAGUCAGUUGUGAAAGUUUGCGGCUCAACCGUAAAAUUGCAGUUGAAACUGGCAGUCUUGAGUACAGUAGAGGUGGGCGGAAUUCGUGGUGUAGCGGUGAAAUGCUUAGAUAUCACGAAGAACUCCGAUUGCGAAGGCAGUUCACUGGACUGCAACUGACACUGAGGCUCGAAAGUGUGGGUAUCAAACAGGAUUAGAUACCCCAGUAGUUC
rnacentral:rRNA from 1 species